AAGUCGUAACAAGGUUUCCGUAGGUGGUUCGCCUGCGAAAUCAGUCUGCUUAGGCAGGCAACAUCUCUACUGUGCUAGAAAUUACAAUAGUAUUACUAGCAGCCUGCUUAGCAGGUUCACAGAUCAAAUAGAGGUGGCCCUCUGGGGUUAAGAUAUGAUCGAUUUAAUGCUGAAACAGCAUUUUUCUAGUGGAACCUGCGGAAGGAUCAUUAAAGAGUUUAUAGACUUCGGUCUACUACUCCACCCUUUGUUUACAAUACCAUUGUUGCUUUGGCAGGCCCGUCGAAAGACAACCGGCUUCGGCUGGUCAGUGCCUGCCAGAGGACCUAAAACUCUUGAUUUAUUAUUGUCUGAGUACUAUAUAAUAGUUAAAACUUUCAACAACGGAUCUCUUGGUUCUG
rnacentral:misc_RNA from 1 species